AGGACGAACGCUGGCGGCGUGCUUAACACAUGCAAGUCGAGCGGUAAGGCCUUUCGGGGUACACGAGCGGCGAACGGGUGAGUAACACGUGGGUGAUCUGCCCUGCACUCUGGGAUAAGUCUGGGAAACUGGGUCUAAUACCGGAUAUGACCUGCUCUCGCAUGGGGGUGGGUGGAAAGAUUUAUCGGUGCAGGAUGGGCCCGCGGCCUAUCAGCUUGUUGGUGGGGUAAUGGCCUACCAAGGCGACGACGGGUAGCCGACCUGAGAGGGUGACCGGCCACACUGGGACUGAGACACGGCCCAGACUCCUACGGGAGGCAGCAGUGGGGAAUAUUGCACAAUGGGCGAAAGCCUGAUGCAGCGACGCCGCGUGAGGAUGAAGGCCUUCGGGUUGUAAACCUCUUUCAGCAGGACGAAGCGCAAGUGACGGUACCUGCAGAAGAAGCACCGGCUAACUACGUGCCAGCAGCCGC
rnacentral:rRNA from 1 species